UACGUAGGGGGCAAGCGUUGUCCGGAUUUAUUGGGCGUAAAGAGCUCGUAGGCGGCUUGGUAAGUCGGAUGUGAAACCUCCAGGCUCAACCUGGAGUCGCCAUCCGAUACUGCCAUGGCUAGAGUCCGGUAGGGGCCCACGGAAUUCCUGGUAUAGCGGUGAAAUGCGCAGAUAUCAGGAGGAACACCAAUGGCGAGGGCAGCUCGCUGGGACGGUACUGACGCUGAGACGCGAAAGCGUGGGGAGCAAACAGG
rnacentral:rRNA from 1 species